rnacentral:rRNA from 1 species
GACGAACGCUGGCGGCAUGCUUAACACAUGCAAGUCGAACGGAAAGGCCCUGCUUUUGUGGGGUGCUCGAGUGGCGAACGGGUGAGUAACCCGUGAGUAACCUGCCCUUGACUGUGGGAUAACUUCAGGAAACUGGGGCUAAUACCGGAUAGGAGCUCCUGCUGCAUGGUGGGGGUUGGAAAGUUUCGGCGGUUGGGGAUGGACUCGCGGGUUAUCAGCUUGUUGGUGGGGUAGUGGCUUACCAGGGCUUUGACGGGUAGCCGGCCUGAGAGGGUGGCCGGCGACAAUGGGACUGAGAUACGGCCCAGACUCCUAUGGGAGGCAGCAGUGGGGAAUAUUGCCCAAUGGGCGGAAGUCUGAUGCAGCAACGCCGCGUGUGGGAUGACGGCCUUCGGGUUGUAAACCGCUUUCGGCUGUGACGAAGCGUGAGUGACGGUAAUGGGUAAAGAAGCACCGGCUAACUACGUG